CUACGAAGGGGGCUAGCGUUGCUCGGAAUCACUGGGCGUAAAGCGCACGUAGGCGGCUUUUUAAGUCAGGGGUGAAAUCCUGGAGCUCAACUCCAGAACUGCCUUUGAUACUGAGAGCUUGAGUCCGGGAGAGGUGAGUGGAACUGCGAGUGUAGAGGUGAAAUUCGUAGAUAUUCGCAAGAACACCAGUGGCGAAGGCGGCUCACUGGCCCGGUACUGACGCUGAGGUGCGAAAGCGUGGGGAGCAAACAGGG
rnacentral:rRNA from 1 species